rnacentral:lncRNA from 1 species
CAGCAUGCCGGCCAGCCACAUUUGGGAUCAAUAAGGACCUGUGAUGCAUCAUCAUCAGUGUGGUGUGUUUGGAUGUCUGUUAGUGCUGCCGCGGCACCAACAUGGAGUGGGAAAAGCAAGCAUGGACAAAAAGCUGUAGUCCUGCUGUUCACGCAGAUGGAGAAGACAGGAGAGGAUGAUCUUCCAGGCAAAGCCAGCAGACAUCAUCAGACCAUUCUCUGGAUAUGAUGGGGCCAUCAGGCGGAUUGACCUGGACCAACGGGCCCCGGCAGGACCCGGCAGGCACCCAGCCGGCCAAGAUGACAAUGUGGAGGUGAGGAGAGGGGACCUUCAGGGCUUGGGAGCCCCCCUGUUCUCUCCUCUCACUCGAAGAUGUCCGUCUGCACUGAAACUGGGAAUCCUUCCAGGAACGUGGAAUAAUACGAUUCCAAUCCUAUUUCCCUCCUUGGUGGGUCUGGCUAGAUUCCUUUUGUAUUCAUGUAUUGUUACAAAAUAGUCUAUAAUGUGAUAACUUUGUGAUCUGUUACAUCAGUGAAAUAAUGCGGAAUUUGACCGUACUAGAAGGGAAGCCAAAUAAAUGCCUCAUCUCACUGAUAAAUAUUGAUUAGAUCACUGAUUAGAUGGUUAUCGUCAGUAUUAAAUAGAACAACACCACAUCCAAAACAAAAUGGUAUGAUAUGUUCAUAAGACAAUUAUGGACCGUCUUUAUGACUCAAUAUGUGAAACAUUUUCCUGUUGCUGUCCUCCUCCUCCUCCUCAUCCUCUGCUCCAGCUCUCCUGUAAACUAAUGCGGACUCUGAAUUUCUCCCCAGGCAAAGGGGCUGACAGCCAAUCGCAACAGAGCUCUCAAAUCGCUGUGUAUAUAACCCAAAACAAGCAAGGCCCGGAAAAGGGUGGUUAACAUCCAUCAACAGAGGACCAUUCCCAGUGAGGCAACACCUGAUCUGGUCUGAGGGGAGAACCUUUAGAGAAAGACUGAGGCAUACAGGGCUGAUGGGAGCUCCUGAGCUGAAUAAAAAACCCUGGAUUAUUUCACCGUCUUCAGAAGCAAUACGCAUGCAGUGACUCAUUUACUUCUACGUAAAGGGGGAACACACAAUGGAGUUAUUCUGCAGCAGCACUGGCAAACAUUUGAGGGAAACAGCUAAUCUACCGAGUGUCAUUAAUGCUCAGUGAUGCUUGAUGCUGAGGGCUUGGCAUUUACAGUACAUGACAUUUGUACAGGACAGUAUGUGGUGUCUUCCCUCCCAUGCCUUACAGCACUUCCCAGUCUAGCCCCUAAUUGGCUACCCUGUAAUUAAGAUCUGAGUUUGAGUGCAGGGAUACUGGGGGAAAGAUGACAGGCAGCGAUAUAACAAACACCAGCCCCCCUAAGGAGUCCCUGAGGACCCCCCCCCCCCCCCAACACACA